rnacentral:rRNA from 1 species
AGAGUUUGAUCCUGGCUCAGAACGAACGCUGGCGGCGUGCUUAACACAUGCAAGUCGAACGCGAAAGGGACUUCGGUCCUGAGUAAAGUGGCGCACGGGUGAGUAACGCGUAGAUAACCUGUCUUUAUGUCUGGAAUAAUACGCCGAAAGGGGUACUAAUACCGGAUAUUUUUGCAUUGCACAAGUGAUGUAAGCAAAGGUGGCCUCUGACAUAAGCUACUGCAUAAAGAGGGGUCUGCGUACCAUUAGCUAGUAGGUGGGGUAAAGGCCUACCUAGGCUACGAUGGUUAGCGGGUCUGAGAGGAUGAUCCGCCACACUGGCACUGGAACACGGGCCAGACUCCUACGGGAGGCAGCAGUGAGGAAUAUUGCGCAAUGGGGGCAACCCUGACGCAGCGACGCCGCGUGAGUGAGGAAGGCCUUCGGGUCGUAAAGCUCUGUCAAAGGGAAAGAAGUGCAUGGAGGUUAAUACCCUUCAUGUUUGACGGUACCCUUAAAGGAAGCACCGGCUAACUCCGUGCCAGCAGCCGCGGUAAUACGGAGGGUGCAAGCGUUGUUCGGAAUUACUGGGCGUAAAGGGCGCGUAGGCGGUUUGAUAAGUCAGAUGUGAAAGCCCACGGCUUAACCGUGGAAGUGCAUUUGAAACUGUCAGACUUGAGUACCAGAGGGGAAAGUGGAAUUCCCGGUGUAGAGGUGAAAUUCGUAGAUAUCGGGAGGAAUACCGGUGGCGAAGGCGACUUUCUGGCUGGAUACUGACGCUGAGGCGCGAAAGCGUGGGGAGCAAACAGGAUUAGAUACCCUGGUAGUCCACGCUGUAAACGAUGUCAACUAGAUGUAGGGGGUGUUGAUCCCUUCUGUGUCGCAGCUAACGCAUUAAGUUGACCGCCUGGGGAGUACGGUCGCAAGAUUAAAACUCAAAGGAAUUGACGG